GAUGAAGAACGUAGCGAAAUGCGAUAAGUAAUGUGAAUUGCAGAAUUCAGUGAAUCAUCGAAUCUUUGAACGCACAUUGCGCCCGCCAGUAUUCUGGCGGGCAUGCCUGUUCGAGCGUCAUUUCAACCACUCAGGCCCUGGUGCCUGGCGUCGGGGUUUCUUGCUUCGGUAAAAUCCCCUAGAAUCAGUAGCGGACCCGCCGCGGCUCCGAGCGUAGUAGUAAAAUAUCUCGCUAUGGAGGCCCGUGGGGGGAUUACCGGCCGUAAAACCUCUUCUUUACUGAAGAACUUCUCAAGGUUGACCUCGGAUCAGGUAGGAAUACCCGCUGAACUUAAGCAUAUCAAUAAGCGGAGGA
rnacentral:misc_RNA from 1 species